GGAAGGAGAGUUUAGCUGGAUAUGCUUUCCUGUGCACCUCUUUGUCACACUACACAGUGUUUUCCAUGAACCUCAUUGAUUUGCAGAAGACAUUUAUUCUGAUUACGUCUCAUAUCUUACGGAGGAGAAAAUGAACUUGUAAGAGACCAACUUCAACCCCUGUGGAAACUCAACAAUUUUCUUCUUGAAUUGUGAGGGUCUUCCUAUUAAUUCUUGAAGUUGCUUAAGAAGAAAGAAUUUAUGAAUGUAAAGCAGAAGCCUGUCUCUCUGAGCCUCAAAAUGUGUUAGCUUUGCUGCCUUCAACAGGA